GGGGCAGAGACCCCUCCCCUGGGAACCUGCAGCUCCAGGCCCCUGUGGGUGGGGUGAGGGUCGGGGGCCUAAGAGCAUUCUGCAGGGGCCACUGUCUUCUCCACGGUGCUCCCUUCAUGCGUGACCCGGCAGCUGUAGCUUCUGUGGGACUUCCACUGCUCGGGCGUCAGGCUCAGCGCAUACUUGUUGUUGCUUUGUUUGGAGGGUUUGGUGGUCUCCACUCCCACCUUGACGGGGCUGCCAUCUGCCUUCCAGGCCACUGUCACGGCUCCCGGGUUGAAGAUAUUUACUGGCAACUGUAGCUUCUGUGGGACUUCCACUGCUCAGGCGUCAGGCUCAGGUAGCUAGCUGCUGGCCGCGUACUUGUUGUUGCUCUGUUUGGAGGGUGUGGUGGUCUCCACUCCCGUGUUGACGGGGCUGCCAUCUGCCUUCCAGGCCACUUUCACAGCUCCCGGGUAGAAGUCACUGAUCAGGCACACCAGUGUGGCCUUGUUGGCUUGAAGCUCCUCAGAGGAGGGCGGGAACAGAGUGACCGAUGGGGCAGCCUUGGGCUGACCUGCGGGGGAGAAGGGCUUGAUGCCUUGGGGUGGGAGGAGAGACCCCUCCCCUGGGAUCCUGCAGCUCUAGUCUCCCGUGGUGGGGGGGUGUGGUGGUCUCCACUCCCGCGGGGUGCCCUUGUUCAGGGGCUCUGUGUCUGAAGGUCUAUGCCAGGCAGAGGGGUCAGGGUGUUUUCCACUAUGCCCUGAUCUGCACGGGGAGCUGUUUUACCUUAGACACCUGACCACCUGUCCUGAGAUCUCUCGGGGCCUUGGCC
rnacentral:lncRNA from 1 species